GAUGAAGGUUUUCGGAUCGUAAAGCUCUGUUGUUAGGGAAGAACAAGUGCCGUUCGAAUAGGUCGGCACCUUGACGGUACCUAACCAGAAAGCCACGGCUAACUACGUGCCAGCAGCCGCGGUAAUACGUAGGUGGCAAGCGUUGUCCGGAAUUAUUGGGCGUAAAGCGCGCGCAGGCGGUCUUUUAAGUCUGAUGUGAAAGCCCCCGGCUCAACCGGGGAGGGUCAUUGGAAACUGGGAGACUUGAGUACAGAAGAGGAGAGUGGAAUUCCACGUGUAG
rnacentral:rRNA from 1 species